UGACCUCGUGAUCCGCUAUUUGUAUUCUUAUCUAACAUACUGAGAACUUUUUAUCACUGUAUUAAGUAUCCAUACAGUUGUAAAACAGCAAGUCUUUAGAAAAUGUUAAAUUGCAGAAUAAUCAUCAUCCAAUAAAUUAUAUAUUAUUUUAGGUUGAGAAUUGAAAUAAAAUAUACAAUUUGUAACAGCUACCUGCAAAUUUGCCAACCAACAUACAAUCAUAAAAUGUGAUUAACUAUUUGAAAAGAAGCACUUCAAAGAUUAAAGAAAUGACUAAAGAAAGCAUUUAAGGCUUUAAAGAGUGGCUUCAAAAGCAGUACGAUGUUGUUUUCUGCAGAGUUGUAAGGGACACCCGAAUCUUGCCUUGGCACAGCCACCCUUCUCUGACGGAAUGCCUAAGGGAUACAGAUGAAAGGUAACAGAGAUUUCAAGAGUUAAGCACCAACGUGGUGCAAUUCAGCGUGUUCUUUUAAAUAAAUCUUCGCGGCUCUAUGGAGGCUGCUCUACGGAGGCUGGACUGUCACAGGUAGAGCCUGAUGCACGAAGAUGAGACCCUGAGAUUGGGCAAGCAGGAGAUGCUGCGCCAGGGUAGCAUGCAGCCAAGGUUGCUUUCGAGACACACACUCUAAGACAAGGGAGCCCAUUUGAAACGGGAGAAGGCGAACCCUGACUCUCCAGUUCAUGGGUCCAGCAUUUGGUCCAGGGAAGCAAGAUUUUUCCACCAGACCUGGAGGUGCCGGAGAGCUGCACAGAAUCAGGAACGGGUGGCCCCCUUAGGAAGGGGAAAACAUACAGCAAAAACUAGAUUUCCAAUAAUACACAUUGCAAGGUGGUUGACAGGGUAAAUUAAAGAAUGGAUAAAAGCACAUGAG
rnacentral:lncRNA from 1 species